rnacentral:misc_RNA from 1 species
GAUGAAGAACGUAGCGAAAUGCGAUAAGUAAUGUGAAUUGCAGAAUUCAGUGAAUCAUCGAAUCUUUGAACGCACAUUGCGCCCCUUGGUAUUCCGAGGGGCAUGCCUGUUCGAGCGUCAUUUGUACCCUCAAGCUUUGCUUGGUGUUGGGCGUCUUGUCUCUAGCUUUGCUGGAGACUCGCCUUAAAGUAAUUGGCAGCCGGCCUACUGGUUUCGGAGCGCAGCACAAGUCGCACUCUCUAUCAGCAAAGGUCUAGCAUCCAUUAAGCCUUUUUUUCAACUUUUGACCUCGGAUCAGGUAGGGAUACCCGCUGAACUUAAGCAUAUCAAUAAGCGGAGGA